CGUGGAGACAGGUGGUGCAUGGCUGUCGUCAGCUCGUGUCGUGAGAUGUUGGGUUAAGUCCCGCAACGAGCGCAACCCUUACCCCUUGUUGCCAUCAGGUCAUGCUGGGCACUCUAGGGGAACUGCCCCGGUCAACGGGGAGGAAGGUGGGGACGACGUCAAGUCAUCAUGCCCCUUACGUCCUGGGCUACACACGUGCCACAAUGGCCGGUACAAAGGGAUGCAAAAUCGCGAGGUGGAGCCAAACCCAGAAAGCCGGUCUAAGUUCAGAUUGGAGUCUGCAACUCGACUCCAUGAAGGAGGAAUCGCUAGUAAUCGCGCAUCAGCACGGCGCGGUGAAUACGUUCCCGGGCCGUGUACACACCGCCCGUCACACCACGAAAGCCAGCUGUACUCGAAGUCGCUGAG
rnacentral:rRNA from 1 species